GUGGGGAAUAUUGGACAAUGGGGGGAACCCUGAUCCAGCCAUGCCGCGUGUGUGAAGAAGGCCUUUUGGUUGUAAAGCACUUUAAGCGAGGAGGAGGCUACCGAGAUUAAUACUCUUGGAUAGUGGACGUUACUCGCAGAAUAAGCACCGGCUAACUCUGUGCCAGCAGCCGCGGUAAUACAGAGGGUGCAAGCGUUAAUCGGAUUUACUGGGCGUAAAGCGCGCGUAGGUGGCCAAAUAAGUCAAAUGUGAAAUCCCCGAGCUUAACUUGGGAAUUGCAUUCGAUACUGGUUGGCUAGAGUAUGGGAGAGGAUGGUAGAAUUCCAGGUGUAGCGGUGAAAUGCGUAGAGAUCUGGAGGAAUACCGAUGGCGAAGGCAGCCAUCUGGCCUAAUACUGACACUGAGGUGCGAAAGCAUGGGGAGCAAACAGGAUUAGAUACCCGAGUAGUCC
rnacentral:rRNA from 1 species